AACAAACGCUGGCGGCGUGCCUAACACAUGCAAGUCGAACGAGAAAGUCGGUUUCGGCCGAUGAGUAAAGUGGCGCACGGGUGAGUAACGCGUGGAUAAUCUACCCUUUAGUCCGGAAUAACUUGCCGAAAGGUGAACUAAUACCGGAUGACAUCCCGGGUUCUCCGGAAACCGGGAUCAAAGAAGGCCUCUGCUUGCAAGCUUUUGCUGAAGGAUGAGUCCGCGUACCAUUAGCUAGUUGGUGGGGUAAUGGCCUACCAAGGUUAUGAUGGUUAGCUGGUCUGAGAGGAUGAUCAGCCACACUGGAACUGAAACACGGUCCAGACUCCUACGGGAGGCAGCAGUGAGGAAUAUUGCGCAAUGGGGGCAACCCUGACGCAGCAACGCCGCGUGAGUGAGGAAGGUUUUCGGAUUGUAAAGCUCUGUCGAGCGGAAAGAAAUGCACGAUGGCUAAUAUCCAUCAUGCUUGACGGUACCGCUAGAGGAAGCACCGGCUAACG
rnacentral:rRNA from 1 species